UCCAUCGAAAGGCAGGCCAAAAGUUGCCC
rnacentral:sRNA from 1 species